rnacentral:rRNA from 1 species
GACGAACGCUGGCGGCGUGCUUAACACAUGCAAGUCGAACGGAAAGGCCCCUUCGGGGGUACUCGAGUGGCGAACGGGUGAGUAACACGUGAGUAACCUGCCCUUGACUUCGGGAUAACUUCAGGAAACUGGGGCUAAUACCGGAUAGGAAUCCUUGCUGCAUGGUGGGGGUUGGAAAGCUUCGGCGGUUUUGGAUGGACUCGCGGCUUAUCAGCUUGUUGGUGGGGUAGUGGCUUACCAAGGCUUUGACGGGUAGCCGGCCUGAGAGGGCGACCGGCCACAUUGGGACUGAGAUACGGCCGAGACUCCUACGGGAGGCAGCAGUGGGGAAUAUUGCACAAGGGGCGGAAGCCGGAUGCAGCAACGCCGCGUGCGGGAUGACGGCCUUCGGGUUGUAAACCGCUUUCAGCAGGGGCGAAGCUUGUGGUGACGGUACCUGCAGAAGAAGCACCGGCUAACUACGUG